rnacentral:tRNA from 1 species
AACAAUUUAGUUUAAUUAAAACACUUGAUUGUCAAUCAAGAAAAACUACCCGCCUGUUAGUAAUUGUUA